GAUUAUGGCUCAGGAUGAACGCUAGCUACAGGCUUAACACAUGCAAGUCGAGGGGCAGCAUUGGAGUAGCAAUACUCAGAUGGCGACCGGCGCACGGGUGAGUAACACGUAUCCAACCUGCCGCUUACUCGGGGAUAGCCUUUCGAAAGAAAGAUUAAUACCCGAUGGUAUAAAGAGUUCGCAUGUUCUCUUUAUUAAAGAAUUUCGGUAAGCGAUGGGGAUGCGUUCCAUUAGAUAGUUGGCGGGGUAACGGCCCACCAAGUCUACGAUGGAUAGGGGUUCUGAGAGGAAGGUCCCCCACAUUGGAACUGAGACACGGUCCAAACUCCUACGGGAGGCAGCAGUGAGGAAUAUUGGUCAAUGGACGAGAGUCUGAACCAGCCAAAAGUAGCGUGAAGGAUGACUGCCCUAUGGGUUGUAAACUUCUUUUAUAAGGGAAUAAAGUGGGGGACGUGUCCCUUUUUGUAUGUACCUUAUGAAUAAGGAUCGGCUAACUCCGUGCCAGCCGCAGC
rnacentral:rRNA from 1 species